rnacentral:rRNA from 1 species
AUUGAACGCUGGCGGCAUGCUUUACACAUGCAAGUCGAACGCGAAAGUCCUUCGGGCGAGUAGAGUGGCGGACGGGUGAGUAACGCGUGGGAAUCUACCCUAGAGCGGGGGACGAACCCGGGGAAACCCGGGCGUAAUACCGCAUACGUCCUACGGGAGAAAGAGGGCCUCUGCUUGCACGCUCUCACUCCAGGAUGAGCCCACGUCCGAUUAGCUAGUUGGUAGGGUAAAGGCCUACCAAGGCCACGAUCGGUAGCUGGUCUGAGAGGAUGAUCAGCCACACUGGGACUGAGACACGGCCCAGACUCCUACGGGAGGCAGCAGUGGGGAAUAUUGGACAAUGGGCGCAAGCCUGAUCCAGCAAUGCCGCGUGUGUGAAGAAGGCCUGCGGGUUGUAAAGCACUUUAAGCAGGAAGAAGGCUUCAGGGUUAAUACCCUUGGGGAUUGACGUUACCUGCAGAAUAAGCACCGGCUAACUCCGUGCCAGCAGCCGCGGUAAAGUGUG